CCAGCCACACUGGAACUGAGACACGGUCCAGACUCCUACGGGAGGCAGCAGUGGGGAAUAUUGCACAAUGGGCGCAAGCCUGAUGCAGCCAUGCCGCGUGUAUGAAGAAGGCCUUCGGGUUGUAAAGUACUUUCAGCGGGGAGGAAGGGAGUAAAGUUAAUACCUUUGCUCAUUGACGUUACCCGCAGAAGAAGCACCGGCUAACUCCGUGCCAGCAGCCGCGGUAAUACGGAGGGUGCAAGCGUUAAUCGGAAUUACUGGGCGUAAAGCGCACGCAGGCGGUUUGUUAAGUCAGAUGUGAAAUCCCCGGGCUCAACCUGGGAACUGCAUCUGAUACUGGCAAGCUUGAGUCUCGUAGAGGGGGGUAGAAUUCCAGGUGUAGCGGUGAAA
rnacentral:rRNA from 1 species